ACGCACGCUGGCGGCGUGCUUAACCCCUGCACGUCGAACGGAAAGGCCCUGCUUUUGUGGGGUGCUCGAGUGGCGAACGGGUGAGUAACACGUGAGUAACCUGCCCUUGACUUUGGGAUAACUUCAGGAAACUGGGGCUAAUACCGGAUAGGAGCUCCUGCUGCAUGGUGGGGGUUGGAAAGUUUCGGCGGUUGGGGAUGGACUCGCGGCUUAUCAGCUUGUUGGUGGGGUAGUGGCUUACCAAGGCUUUGACGGGUAGCCGGCCUGAGAGGGUGACCGGCCACAUUGGGACUGAGAUACGGCCCAGACUCCUACGGGAGGCAGCAGUGGGGAAUAUUGCACAAUGGGCGGAAGCCUGAUGCAGCAACGCCGCGUGCGGGAUGACGGCCUUCGGGUUGUAAACCGCUUUCGCCUGUGACGAAGCGUGAGUGACGGUAAUGGGUAAAGAAGCACCGGCUAACUACGUG
rnacentral:rRNA from 1 species